GGCAGAGUGGCCGAGUGGUUAAGGCGGCAGACUUGAAGCAGAGAAACACUCUUCUUUAACCGGAAAAUGUUAUCUCUUGUCAGACAUCUGCUACAUUCGUGUGCGUAGGUUCGAACCCUGCCUCUGUCG